rnacentral:rRNA from 1 species
UACGAAGGGGGCUAGCGUUGCUCGGAAUCACUGGGCGUAAAGCGCACGUAGGCGGAUCUUUAAGUCAGGGGUGAAAUCCUGGAGCUCAACUCCAGAACUGCCUUUGAUACUGGGGAUCUCGAGUCCGGAAGAGGUGAGUGGAACUCCGAGUGUAGAGGUGAAAUUCGUAGAUAUUCGGAAGAACACCAGUGGCGAAGGCGGCUCACUGGCUCGUUACUGACGCUCAGGCGCGACAGCGUGGGGAGCAAACAGG